UUACGGCCAAAUCACGUUAAAACAUAUUUUCCCGUACGAUCACCGUUUAAGCAACGUUGAGCUUGGUCAGUACCUAGAUGGGUGACCGCUUGGGAAUACCUGGUGCUGUAAG